rnacentral:rRNA from 1 species
AACGAACGCUGGCGGCGCGCUUAACACAUGCAAGUCGAACGAGAAGCUGUAGGCAAUACAGUUGUACAGUGGCGAACGGGUGAGGAAUACAUGGGUAACCUACCCUCGAGUGGGGAAUAACCAGCCGAAAGGCUGGCUAAUACCGCGUACGCUUCCCAAUCUGCGGGUUGGGAAGGAAAGCUCUACCGUGGGUAGAGCGCUCAAGGACGGGCUCAUGUCCUAUCAGCUUGUUGGAGGGUAACGGCCUACCAA